UUUUCUCUCCUCACAUUCCAAAACCCCAACUUCUCCAAGAUUACACCUACCGAGAAAAUGACCAUCCAUGCUUUUCUUCAGAAACUGCCCCUGUUCUUCAUCUUCCUUAUUAUCAUCAAAAUAAAUACCAUCUUCAUUUCCCACCGGCUCCUUUCCCUCUGUCUCGCCAUCCUCUUUCAUUGCAUUAUCCAAUCCACCAAGACUCAAUUCAAUAUUAUGCUCCUCCAUUUCUGAUCCUCCUUGUAGUUCCUCACCCAUUUUCACAUCAUCAUCCUCAUUGUCCUUAACAUCAAUCUCCAUUUUAACAGGCUCUUCCACAAACCAUGCCUUCUUCUGUGCUUUCAUCAAUUGCUGCAAAUGAGUUCAUCCUCAUUGUCCUUAACAUCAAUCUCCAUUUUAACAGGCUCUUCCACAAACCAUUCCUUCUUCUGUGCUUUCAUCAAUUGCUGCAAAUGAGAAGCAUAAUAACAAUUCCCUAAAUUGGGCGCCAUUGCCAACUCCUUCUCUACCAUAAGCCAUACCAACUUAGCCCAAUCCACCUUCUCAAAAUG
rnacentral:lncRNA from 1 species